rnacentral:rRNA from 1 species
UACGGGGGGGGCAAGCGUUGUUCGGAAUUACUGGGCGUAAAGGGCUCGUAGGUGGCCAAUUAAGUCAGGCGUGAAAUCCCCAGGCUCAACUUGGGAACUGCGUCUGAUACUGGUUGGCUUGAAUUCGGGAGAGGGAUGCAGAAUUCCAGGUGUAGCGGUGAAAUGCGUAGAUAUCUGGAGGAAUACCGGUGGCGAAGGCGGAUCUCUGGGCCAUUACUGACGCUGAGGAGCGAAAGCGUGGGGAGCAAACAGG